UACGUAGGGAGCAAGCGUUGUCCGGAUUCAUUGGGCGUAAAGAGCUCGUAGGCGGCUUAGCAAGUCAGGUGUGAAAACUCCAGGCUCAACCUGGAGACGCCACUUGAUACUGCUAUGGCUUGAGUUCGGUAGGGGACCAGGGAAUUCCUGGUGUAGCGGUGAAAUGCGCAGAUAUCAGGAGGAACACCAAGGGCGAAGGCAGUGGUCGGGGCCGAUACUGACGCUGAGGCGCGAAAGCGUGGGGAGCAAACAGG
rnacentral:rRNA from 1 species